CACUGUUUCGGCUAGGGGGCCAUCCCGGCUUACCAACCCGAUGCAAACUGCGAAUACCGGAGAAUGUUAUCACGGGAGACACACGGCGGGUGCUAACGUCCGUCGUGAAGAGGGAAACAACCCAGACCGCCAGCUAAGGUCCCAAAGUCAUGGUUAAGUGGGAAACGAUGUGGGAAGGCCCAGACAGCCAGGAUGUUGGCUUAGAAGCAGCCAUCAUUUAAAGAAAGCGUAAUAGCUCACUGGUCGAGUCGGCCUGCGCGGAAGAUGUAACGGGGCUAAACCAUGCACCGAAGCUGCGGCAGCGACACUAUGUGUUGUUGGGUAGGGGAGCGUUCUGUAAGCCUGUGAAGGUGGCCUGUGAGGGUUGCUGGAGGUAUCAGAAGUGCGAAUGCUGACAUAAGUAACGAUAAAGCGGGUGAAAAGCCCGCUCGCCGGAAGACCAAGGGUUCCUGUCCAACGUUAAUCGGGGCAGGGUGAGUCGACCCCUAAGGCGAGGCCGAAAGGCGUAGUCGAUGGGAAACGGGUUAAUAUUCCCGUACUUGGUGUUACUGCGAAGGGGGGACGGAGAAGGCUAUGUUGGCCGGGCGACGGUUGUCCCGGUUUAAGCGUGUAGGUGUGUGUUCCAGGUAAAUCCGGUUCACUUUAACACUGAGGCGUGAUGACGAGGCACUACGGUGCUGAAGCAACAAAUGCCCUGCUUCCAGGAAAAGCCUCUAAGCAUCAGGUAACAUCAAAUCGUACCCCAAACCGACACAGGUGGUCAGGUAGAGAAUACCAAGGCGCUUGAGAGAACUCGGGUGAAGGAACUAGGCAAAAUGGUGCCGUAACUUCGGGAGAAGGCACGCUGACAUGUAGGUGAAGUGAUUUACUCAUGGAGCUGAAGUCAGUCGAAGAUACCAGCUGGCUGCAACUGUUUAUUAAAAACACAGCACUGUGCAAACACGAAAGUGGACGUAUACGGUGUGACGCCUGCCCGGUGCCGGAAGGUUAAUUGAUGGGGUCAGCGCAAGCGAAGCUCCUGAUCGAAGCCCCGGUAAACGGCGGCCGUAACUAUAACGGUCCUAAGGUAGCGAAAUUCCUUGUCGGGUAAGUUCCGACCUGCACGAAUGGCGUAAUGAUGGCCAGGCUGUCUCCACCCGAGACUCAGUGAAAUUGAACUCGCUGUGAAGAUGCAGUGUACCCGCGGCAAGACGGAAAGACCCCGUGAACCUUUACUAUAGCUUGACACUGAACAUUGAGCCUUGAUGUGUAGGAUAGGUGGGAGGCUUUGAAGUGUGG
rnacentral:rRNA from 1 species